ensembl:Mt_tRNA mt-Tw mitochondrially encoded tRNA tryptophan
AGAAGUUUAGGAUAAUACAGUCCAAGAGUCUUCAGAGCCCUGAGAAAACAAACAAGUUUAAUUUCUG